rnacentral:rRNA from 1 species
GGGGGACGGAGAAGGCUAUGUUGGCCGGGCGACGGUUGUCCCGGUUUAAGCGUGUAGGCUGGUUUUCCAGGCAAAUCCGGAAAAUCAAGGCUGAGGCGUGAUGACGAGGCACUACGGUGCUGAAGCAACAAAUGCCCUGCUUCCAGGAAAAGCCUCUAAGCAUCAGGUAACAUCAAAUCGUACCCCAAACCGACACAGGUGGUCAGGUAGAGAAUACCAAGGCGCUUGAGAGAACUCGGGUGAAGGAACUAGGCAAAAUGGUGCCGUAACUUCGGGAGAAGGCACGCUGAUAUGUAGGUGAAGUCCCUCGCGGAUGGAGCUGAAAUCAGUCGAAGAUACCAGCUGGCUGCAACUGUUUAUUAAAAACACAGCACUGUGCAAACACGAAAGUGGACGUAUACGGUGUGACGCCUGCCCGGUGCCGGAAGGUUAAUUGAUGGGGUCAGCGCAAGCGAAGCUCUUGAUCGAAGCCCCGGUAAACGGCGGCCGUAACUAUAACGGUCCUAAGGUAGCGAAAUUCCUUGUCGGGUAAGUUCCGACCUGCACGAAUGGCGUAAUGAUGGCCAGGCUGUCUCCACCCGAGACUCAGUGAAAUUGAACUCGCUGUGAAGAUGCAGUGUACCCGCGGCAAGACGGAAAGACCCCGUGAACCUUUACUAUAGCUUGACACUGAACAUUGAGCCUUGAUGUGUAGGAUAGGUGGGAGGCUUUGAAGUGUGGACGCCAGUCUGCAUGGAGCCGGCCUUGAAAUACCACCCUUUAAUGUUUGAUGUUCUAACGUGGACCCGUGAUCCGGGUUGCGGACAGUGUCUGGUGGGUAGUUUGACUGGGGCGGUCUCCUCCUAAAGAGUAACGGAGGAGCACGAAGGUUGGCUAAUCCUGGUCGGACAUCAGGAGGUUAGUGCAAUGGCAUAAGCCAGCUUGACUGCGAGCGUGACGGCGCGAGCAGGUGCGAAAGCAGGUCAUAGUGAUCCGGUGGUUCUGAAUGGAAGGGCCAUCGCUCAACGGAUAAAAGGUACUCCGGGGAUAACAGGCUGAUACCGCCCAAGAGUUCAUAUCGACGGCGGUGUUUGGCACCUCGAUGUCGGCUCAUCACAUCCUGGGGCUGAAGUAGGUCCCAAGGGUAUGGCUGUUCGCCAUUUAAAGUGGUACGCGAGCUGGGUUUAGAACGUCGUGAGACAGUUCGGUCCCUAUCUGCCGUGGGCGCUGGAGAACUGAGGGGGGCUGCUCCUAGUACGAGAGGACCGGAGUGGACGCAUCACUGGUGUUCGGGUUGUCAUGCCAAUGGCACUGCCCGGUAGCUAAAUGCGGAAGAGAUAAGUGCUGAAAGCAUCUAAGCACGAAACUUGCC